rnacentral:ncRNA from 1 species
GUGUUGUAAGAAAGGAGAGAAGGUUAGCACUCCCCUUGACAAGGACGGAAUGGACCCUUGCGGUCUAACAACACACAAAGGCAAUGCCUCUCUACUUUGGAGGCACACCAUUUUUUUU